GAAACCGCGAACCAACCUAAUUUUUUUUGUUAGCGAUGCAGGCCACGAUCCGCCGGUCGAUUCAGAAAUAACCGGUGUGAAGAAAAUCUACGAAAAUUAACCGCUCCCCUCCAUCUAUUUCCUACGAUCCCUCAAGGACGCCCCAGCCCCCGAGACGAGCCGCCGCCGAGAUCCGAGACGAUCCGCCGCCGCCGAGGACCGAGUGGAACCGCCGCCUCCACGUCGCCGCCGGCGGCGCUGGCCAGGCUCCCCACCGAUGGGCGCGCCGGGUCGCCGCUCCUCGAGGCCAGUUCCCCUCGUUGCUCCAGAUCGCGCCUCAGUUUGUGAUCCCUUGGGGAUCCUGCCAGGCCGCCGCCGCCGAGGACUGAGUGGAGACGCCGCCUCCACGUAGUCGCCGCCGGCGCUGGCCAGGCUCCCCACCGAUGGGCGCGCCGGGUCGCCGCUCCUCGAGGCCAGUUCCCCUCGCUGCUCCAGAUCGCGCCUCGGUUUGUAAUCCCUUGGGGAUCCUGCCGGUGCUUGAGGCGUCCGCGAUGGUGCGGACUCAGGACCGAGCGGUGGGGCACAUCAUGCGUUCUGGUUGAGAGAUUGGUCAGGCUGGCGUGGGAACUGAACUGCCGUCGAUGGAUUUUUUUGGUAGCUUGGCUGCAUGUUGCUUCAGAUUUGGUAGUACAUUGUAGAUGCUGAUCCAAAAUGCAUAGAAACAUGGGUAGAGAUGGGAACUAUCAAAGCAAUUGGAACUAUCUGGGACGAACAGCGUCAUCAUCUUAUACUGCUAACAUGAUUGACCGAUCUAGGAGAUACUUAUGAGCUUCUGAAGCUCGAUUGUUCAGAUUAUCAUGGGCGAGAUGACAAUGAAGAGCCUGAUAUAGUCCACCAUGACAUCAAUGCACCAUUGUCCCGCUAUUUCAUUACACCGGACAGUAAUCAUAUUUUACUGGCAAUCAGCUAAUCAGUGACUAUAGUGAUGUUCUCAUCAUCAAGGCACUGCAAAUAGGUGUUUGUGUAAUUAAAUUAGACAUGUGGCCAAAUUCUUCUAAAGAUGACACUGAUAUUCUCCAUCAAAGUACUGAAUAUGACUUCUGCUGACAGUACUCAUAGUUAUGCUUCCGUUACUGAAAUCUUCAUGAGUGUGGAUCCUAUAUGAUUCUCUUCAUAUAAAAUACUACUAUUUUGGGAAAGGCAUCUAGCUGAGUUUUAAUGAAACUCUUGAGCGAAAAAUAUUUCUAACGGUGUUAGAACGACAACUGACAAGGACUGCCACGAUUAGAGCUACCAUUUGGCCCCAUGUUUCAGUAUGCAGUCAAGCAUGCAAUAAAGGUAAUGACAGGGCAUUUUGUAGUUUCGGGUAGUGCAUGUAGUUUUCGCCAAAUUGUAUGUUACAGUUAACAUCGUAGGAGAUUGGAAUUCUGAAUUUGGAUGCUUUCAUGCAUAUCGAAGAAGUAGAAUACUCCCUCCGAUCCAAAUUACUUGUCGUUGAAAUAGAUGCAUCUAUAAUUGACAUACAUCUAAGAUACAUCCAUUUCAGCAACAAGUAAUACGGAUUGGAGGGAGUAUCAAUUUUGCUGUGUUGAAGUCGUUAUGGAGGUGACAAGGAAUCUAUAUUGCUCUGUAGAUGACGACAUUGUGCAUUGCAAUAUAUAUUGCUCUGUAGAAAAAUACAUUUAUGUGGAGUAUGCUUCAGGUAAUUCACCAAUGCAUUUGUUUCAUCAUUUCUUUUUGACUAUUAACUGCGUGAGCAAGUGUCUAAUAAUAGAAAAGUUCCCCAUUGGGUCGCUACUACAACUAAAUGGGCUUGUGAAUAGCUGUAGAACGUACUCUAUUUUGUUCCCCGUUGAAGGGCAAUGUUCCUGUUGGUCUCUCAAAAGAACUGAAAGAAAUGCAACCUUGACAAUUGAAUGCCCACAUUCCUUGUUGGAGAUCAUAGAGCUAUAUACAUUAAUGAGUUAUUAUGUUGAUGCACAUUGCAUUGCAUUUACUAAACUUGUUUUCUUCUUACCAGAUUCAGUGGUAAUGUAAUUUUGGUCGGGCAGGGGUUUGUGAAGAAAACUAGCAAGGUUCAUAGAUGCACCCAGGUGGAAUGUUUACUUUCCAAAUGUCAAGUAUUUAAAAAAAAUUAGACAUAUAAAUGUCUGAGUCCUUUGUGUUCUUGUCAAAUAUCAUGCAAAAAUGAUAAGGAGGACGAGGUUAUGAGGUAAUGUGCUCGGGCGGGAGGAAGAGGUACUGGUUCAAACCAUGAAAGUUCUUAGCUCAUAAUUGCUACCAAUUCUACAGAAAAGGUUGUGAUUUUGUUAACCUGACUAGAGCUUUCAUGUUAUGUCAGUCCUUUAUUUAGAUGAUUUAGCUGUUGACCUACCGUUCCUUUCUAGAUGAUUACUUGCAGUUCUUUUACUAAGGCAGUGCAUCUAGGGUUUCUUUACUUGCUCACUGACCAUUCAGUUCAAUGACGGCCAAUGCGGUAGAAUCGAGGCUGCAACUCUAGCACUUCAAAGAGGAAAAGAAAACAUGACUACUUCAUGGCGAGAGAAGAGGAGGGCAGCGAGGAGCGAACAUGGGGAUGGGUGGCUGGGGCGUUUCUUGCACGAGGAUGGGGAAAUUGGAGUUAUCCAAGACCGGAAAUGUCCCUGUUGCUCUUAGGAAGGAUACUUUAUUUUUCAGUCAUUUGCUAUUACUCCAAGUAAGAACUGCGAUUUUGCAAAGAGUAAGCCAUUUCUUGUGAAUCUUGUAAGUUUCUGCAUUUUGUAGUUCAAGAGCUCCUGGUUUGGUUUGGCCUCGAUCCAAACACGUUGUUAGACUUUCAGUCCAUGGGCUCGGUAAAUCGAGAUCGAGAGACGUCGUAGACUUUCAACCCAUGGCCUCAGUAGAUCGAGAGAGGGAGAGAGUAGUUAGGUGGCGGCGGCGGCUCCGGAGCACGAGUGCGACAGCGGCAACAGAGCAUGAGCGGGCAUGGACUGGGGACUAGAACAUGGAUGUGGAAGAUGGAGCGACAUCUGUGGUGCGACACCGUGUGGCGGUUGUCCGAGGUGUUGUCGAUGUGGAGCGGUGCCAUUUGGACUGAAGCCUAGCAUCCUAAGAUGGCAGGCUGGUGUCAACGCCGCUAGGGGUGGUGCCGAUGGAGACGCUGGGACGAGGUAGCGAUGUAGGGGUCGAGAGUAGCUGUUGUAUGUGUGUGUGUCCCCUCCAUUGAUUUGUGACCAAGCCCACGGGAAAUCUAGCCAGCAACUGGUAGUGUCUUUCUGAAUUGUGGAGUCUUUCGCUGAGGCCAUGCAUUGAGAAGGUGAACUUCUGAUGCAUCUAUCAUCCAUGGGCUAAAAAUUGAAUUAUCAACAAGUAUGAUGAUAGCCAGUGUUACUGUGAUCUCCAAAGAACAAUAACUAUGCAACAUAGUGCUGAACUUUGACAUUUUCGUUUUGUUAUAAAUUUCCUUUUAAUAUUUCGUAAUUUAUUUAAUUAAUCUUUCUAUUAAUAUUUGGUUUCACUAUAGUAAAUUUAUUUGAAGGUCUCCAUGAUGGCAUAAUUCAAUGUAGAUUGAUGUGUCGAUUAUUUUGGCAUGCAUUUAUUUGCCCAACAUUACCUAGAUACUUAGUGCCAUUACAAUGACAUCCUGUUUUAUUUCAGAAAGUGAUUGCUCCAUCACAUACACAUUAAAAGAAAUUGCACAACUGCACCAUGGCUAUCCAGUAUAUCAAGCAAGAUUAAUCUAAACAUACCUUACAACAUCUCAUUACUCCCAUCGAGGUAAUCUAAACAUGUUCUUAAUGGCGACAAAUUUGAGCAGAAGAUAUUCUUAAUGGCAACAAGUAACUAAUUCUUUCGUUUCUAUGGAAUAUGUAAAUUCAUAUGCAGGUAAGCAGGUUAAUCUAAACAUGCCUUACAGUAUCCCAUUACUCUUGUUGAAGUUUUAUACUGUUAGAUUUCACCUUUGUUUGUAUUAAAUAUCUGAAGUAACGGAGCUUGAUUUUCAGUUUUGAUUUUUCACUCACUUCAUAGCCAACAUUACAGUGGUAUAUGUUGUAUGUAUUUCAGCACUAUACUUUUCCCUCGGUCUAUAUAGUUACUGUUACUUGCCUAAAAGACCGGGAAUUUUCGUUGUUCCGUUUCAACAACAUGGUAUAAAUCUAAAUAGUUACUAUUACCUGAGGACAGCUUGUCUUCCCCAACAUGGGAUUUGUUGUUAACUCUACUCAUCUUCGAUGUUUAUACAUGAUUGGCAAGUGUCAGCAACUUAUCGUGUUCACUUUUGGUUAGCAAAGGUUUUGAUAUAACAGUCAGAUAUUUAUGUUUGGGAUUAGCUCAUAGGUUAGACUCUGGGUUCCCUUCCCCUCUGUCGAUCGCUCCAGCAGCGAGAGGGUGGGGGAGCCCCUGUUCUCUGCUUUGGUGUGUAUAUAGGGUGUGUGGGUUGGUUUCUAGCUGGCAGCGCUCAGGAGGCAGAUGUGCUGCCGAUGCGAAUAAAUUUGGUGUUGUUCCUUUCCCUAUGCGUUGUCAUCCUCUGGGCCUUGACGGGGUGCGUGCAGAUUGGUGUCUCGGGAUCCGUCGGACCUGUCGAGCUUUGGUGUUUCUGGGUAUGGCCAUCGCGAUGGAGAAGGUUGCCAUGCCGUGGAGAUUUCGUCUCCUGGCUUCGUCCCCAUGGUGGCUGGGCGUGCUUCAUCCCUCAUCAUGGAGCCUAGGAGUCAUGUUCAGGAGUUGGAGCGGCGCCAGAUCUCCCCGUGUCUCGUCCUUAGUGGUUCUUCAUCAUGUUGCAUCUCCGGUGUGCUGGUCCGACUGGACCGAGGUUGACGACUUCCUGGCUGCAAAGAACCUGUCUACACUCCACAAGAUCAUGCCGGCAAAAUGUAGAGCGGCGCCUGAUCUCCCCAUGCCUCGUCCUCGGUGCUUCUUUGUCAUGUUGCACCUUCGGUGUGAUGGUUCUACUGGACAGAGGUUAACGACUUCCCGGUCGCGAAGAAUCCGUCCGCACUCUACAAGGUAACGUCGGCUCCAUGUUGGAGCGGGAGCGCGCCUUGAGCCCGCAUCUGAGUUUGUUGUAUCUGAGUUUGCGGUGGGUCGAAGCCCCAAGGACUCGAUUGUGAUUUGUGUUUUCUCUAGGGUGCUUAUACCACUGGUGUUCUUUAAUAUAUGACCUGGGUCUUCUCCACAAGAAAGGGUGAUAUCUAUCAUUUGUAAUGCAUUGCACACUACAGAGUUAUGUGUUUGUGCUACUUUCUUUAUUUUGUGCAUCAGAUAUGAAAGUCUACAUCGUUGGAUUUCAUUUU